GAUGAACGCUAGCUACAGGCUUAACACAUGCAAGUCGAGGGGAAACGAUGAGAGAGCUUGCUCUCUUAGGCGUCGACCGGCGCACGGGUGAGUAACGCGUAUCCAACCUACCCAUUACAGGGGGAUAACCUUGCGAAAGUAAGACUAAUACCCCAUGGCAUUUUAUGGUGGCAUCAUUAUAGGAUUAAAGAUUUAUUGGUAAUGGAUGGGGAUGCGUCUGAUUAGCUUGUUGGCGGGGUAACGGCCCACCAAGGCAACGAUCAGUAGGGGUUCUGAGAGGAAGGUCCCCCACAUUGGAACUGAGACACGGUCCAAACUCCUACGGGAGGCAGCAGUGAGGAAUAUUGGUCAAUGGGCGAGAGCUUGAACCAGCCAAGUAGCGUGCAGGAUGACGGCCCUAUGGGUUGUAAACUGCUUUUAUAGGGGAAUAAAGUGAGCUACGUGUAGUUUAUUGAAUGUACCCUAUGAAUAAGGACCGGCUAAUUCCGUG
rnacentral:rRNA from 1 species